AACGCUAGCUACAGGCUUAACACAUGCAAGUCGAGGGGCAGCAUUGGGAUAGCUUGCUAUUCAGAUGGCGACCGGCGCACGGGUGAGUAACGCGUAUCCAACCUUCCUGCCAGUAGGGAACAGCCCGGCGAAAGUCGGAUUAAUGCCCUAUGUUCUUCAAUGCGGACAUCUAAGUUGAAGGAAAGAUUCAUCGCUGGCAGAUGGGGAUGCGUCCGAUUAGCUUGCCGGCGGGGUAACGGCCCACCGGGGCGACGAUCGGUAGGGGUUCUGAGAGGAAGGUCCCCCACACUGGUACUGAGACACGGACCAGACUCCUACGGGAGGCAGCAGUGAGGAAUAUUGGUCAAUGGGCGUAAGCCUGAACCAGCCAAGUAGCGUGCAAGGAUGACGGCCCUACGGGUUGUAAACUGCUUUUAUGCGGGGAUAAAGUGCGGCACGUGUGCCGCUUUGCAGGUACCGCAUGAAUAAGGACCGGCUAAUUCCGUGCCAGCCGCCGC
rnacentral:rRNA from 1 species